GACGAACGCUGGCGGCGUGCUUAACACAUGCAAGUCGAACGAUGAAGCCGGAGCCUGCUCCGGUGGAUUAGUGGCGAACGGGUGAGUAACACGUGAGCAAUCUGCCCUUGACUCUGGGAUAACUGCGGGAAACUGUAGCUAAUACCGGAUACGACACCUUGGGGCAUCCCAGGGUGUGGAAAGAAUUUCGGUCAAGGAUGAGCCCGCGGCCUAUCAGCUAGUUGGUGAGGUAAUGGCUCACCAAGGCGACGACGGGUAGCCGGCCUGAGAGGGUGACCGGCCACACUGGUACUGAGACACGGUCCAGACUCCUACGGGAGGCAGCAGUGGGGAAUAUUGCACAAUGGGCGAAAGCCUGAUGCAGCAACGCCGCGUGAGGGAUGAAGGCCUUCGGGUUGUAAACCUCUUUUAGCAGGGAAGAAGCGAAAGUGACGGUACCUGCAGAAAAAGCACCGGCUAACUACGUGCCAGCCGCCGCAGUAA
rnacentral:rRNA from 1 species